CCUACGGGUGGCAGCAGUGAGGAAUAUUGGUCAAUGGACGAGAGUCGGAACCAGCCAAGUAGCGUGAAGGAUGACUGCCCUAUGGGUUGUCAGCUUCUUUUAUAUGGGAGUAAAAUGUUCCACGUGUGGGAUUUUGUAUGUACCAUAUACAUAAGGCUCGGAUAACUCCGUGCCAGCCGCCGCGGUAAUACGGAGGAUCCGAGCGUUAUCCGUGUUUAUUGGGUUUAAAGGGAACGUAGGUGGUUUGUUAAGUCCGUUGUGAAAGUGUGCGGAUCAACCGUAAAAUUGCAGUUGAAACUGGCAGUCUUGAGUACAGUAGAGGUGGGCGGAAUUCGUGGGGUAGCGGUGAAAUGCGUAGAGAUCACGAAGAAUUCCGAUGGCGAAGGCAGUUCACUGGACUGCAACUGACAUUGAGGCGCGAAAGUGUGGGUAUCAAACAGGAUUAGAUACCCGAGUAGUC
rnacentral:rRNA from 1 species